GCUUCUACAGGCCUGGCAGGAGUCGGGCUCAUCAUUUUUAAAGAUCAGAAAGGUCUGGAAGUCGCCAUGAACUGUGCUGAACGAAGGAAAACACAUAGAAGGACAAUUAAAGCAGAAGCAGAAUGAUUCAUUUGCUGUCAACGGCUCCAGUCUGAAAUCCCAAGGAGUAGCCCAUUAAUAUCAGACCUGGACAACAAGAACGCCAUUGUGGGAGGCCCUUUGGGACACCUACAGCUUUCUGUUCUGUUUCCUUUUAAACUAAGAAACCUCCAAAGGGAGGCGGCUUUGAAGGAGCCCUGGCAAGGGAGUCAGGAUGCCCCGGGAGGGGGCUCAGGAGCUGCUCGGGGCCUUUCUUGGGGGCAACAAGAGGAGAAAGCAUGAACAUGCCGCCCCCCCCACCCAAGGAAGAAGCCUUCUCCCCUCCAGGGGCUGAGCAAAGAUGAAGAUUCAAGGGGUCGUAGCUGCAGAGCUGACCGUGAGGCCCUGGGACCAGAGGGGCUGGCAGUCAUGCCAUGUGGGGUGCUGACUGGAGGAACCCGACAUGGUGAAUUUAGAAACAAGAAGAGAGGAAAAGAUUGGACUAAAGUCCCUCCCUGCUCUCAAUGCCCCAUACUCCUCAAUGAAAGCAAGAACCAUUGGUUUUAUCUUUAUAUCUCCAGCCCUUAUCCCAGUACCUGGCC